rnacentral:snoRNA from 1 species
AAGGGUCAUAUGAGGUUUACAAGCAUAGUUCAGAUGAUUUAUCGUGAUUAUAUUCUCUUUUAAGUCUUUCCCUCCUGUCUGAUGACCAUU